rnacentral:misc_RNA from 1 species
GAUGAAGAACGUAGCGAAAUGCGAUAAGUAGUGUGAAUUGCAGAAUUCAGUGAAUCAUCGAAUCUUUGAACGCACAUUGCGCCCCUUGGUAUUCCAUGGGGCAUGCCUGUUCGAGCGUCAUUUGUACCUUCAAGCUCUGCUUGGUGUUGGGUGUUUGUCUCGCCUCUGCGUGUAGACUCGCCUCAAAACAAUUGGCAGCCGGCGUAUUGAUUUCGGAGCGCAGUACAUCUCGCGCUUUGCACUCAUAACGACGACGUCCAAAAGUACAUUUUUACACUCUUGACCUCGGAUCAGGUAGGGAUACCCGCUGAACUUAAGCAUAUCAAUAAGAGGA